UGGGGAAUAUUGCACAAUGGGCGCAAGCCUGAUGCAGCCAUGCCGCGUGUAUGAAGAAGGCCUUCGGGUUGUAAAGUACUUUCAGCGGGGAGGAAGGUGGUAAGGUUAAUAACCUUGGCAAUUGACGUUACCGACAGAAGAAGCACCGGCUAACUCCGUGCCAGCAGCCGCGGUAAUACGGAGGGUGCAAGCGUUAAUCGGAAUUACUGGGCGUAAAGCGCACGCAGGCGGUUUGUUAAGUCAGAUGUGAAAUCCCCGGGCUCAACCUGGGAACUGCAUCUGAUACUGGCAAGCUUGAGUCUCGUAGAGGGGGGUAGAAUUCCAGGUGUAGCGGUGAAAUGCGUAGAGAUCUGGAGGAAUACCGGUGGCGAAGGCGGCCCCCUGGACGAAGACUGACGCUCAGGUGCGAAAGCGUGGGGAGCAAACAGG
rnacentral:rRNA from 1 species